CCUACGGGUGGCAGCAGUGGGGAAUCUUGGGCAAUGGAGGAAACUCUGACCCAGCAACGCCGCGUGAAUGAUGCAGGUUUUCGGAUUGUAAACUUCUGUCGCAAGGGAUGAAGGAUGACGGUACCUCGUAAUAAAUCCCCGGGAAACUACUUGCCAGCAGCCGCGGGAAUACGAAGGGGGCGAGCGUUGUCCGGAAUGACUGGGCGGAAAGGUGUUGUAGGCGGCAUAUAAAGUUAGGUGUGAAAGCCCGGGGCUUAAACGCGGAAUUGCACAUAAAACUGGUAAGCUGGAGUGCAGGAGAGGUGAGUGGAAUUCCAGGUGUAGCGGUGGAAUGCGUAGAUAUAGGGAGGAACACCAGAGGCGAAGGCGACUUACUGGACUGUAACUGACGCUGAGGCUCGAAAGCGUGGGGAGCAAACAGGAUUAGAUACCCUUGUAGUC
rnacentral:rRNA from 1 species